CUUAAUUACUUACUGUUUAUUCACUUCUUUUUUCCAUCUUAAAUACAACCCUCCUAUCUUCUUCGUUUUCCCUAUAUUCAUUCUCUCAUUUCCUUUUUUCUCUCUUUUUUAGGACUUUUUCUUGUUUGGUUUCUUAUAAGAUCACUUCCAUGGUGGUUUCUUGUUGAAAAUUUGAAGUUUAUUCAAGGGAAAAUCAAAUGAUUUGAAGACCUAAUUUCAUGUGGGUUUUGUUUUAGCAAAGGAUUUCCCAAUAGAGUUUAUUGGCAUUCUGUCCACCUCCCCUCCUUUCUUCAAAUCUUUUUAUUCAAAUUUUUUGGUUUUUGUUUUUUUUUUUUUUUUUUAUAAAGAAAAUUUAUUUAUAAUAUAGGGGGAGGUGGGCAUACUGCCAACUGAGUUCUGUUGGAUUCUCUUUGUUACAACCCUCAUGAUGCCUCUUCUCUUUCAUCAUCUUUCAUUUUUUAGUUCUUUCUGAUGAGAAAAUAUAUACAAUUUCUAAGCCAAAUAUUUAACAUCAUUAUAUCAUUUUCUUUUUAUUUGUUCAAUGUUCUCUGAAAAUUUUCUCAUCAUGCUGUUUUUCCUCAGCUCACUAUCAUGGAGAGGUUCCUUUCUUUCUCAGCUUAUGGGGCCAAAAUGAUGAAGCCGAAGAUGCUUCCAUUAUUUACCCAUUCGUCCGGCGGCGCGUGAGUUCUCCACGGCGGCGGAGAAAACAGUAAAAGAGUUUUGUUUAAAAAAUAAUAAUAAUAAUAAUAAUAAUAAUGGAGUUUUGUGUGUUUUUGGUAUUGGAAUUUGAGCCUUUUGAAGAUCUGAUAUGAUCUUCUUCAAGCUUUGGAGCUACCUAGGGUUUGCCCUUAUAAUUCUCUGCCCUUUUCACAGUCGUAGGGGAAUGGAAUGGAAUGUAUUCUCUCUCUAAUUUAUUAUUAUUAUUACUUUUUCAAAUCUCAA